rnacentral:rRNA from 1 species
AUUGAACGCUGGCGGCAUGCCUUACACAUGCAAGUCGAACGGCAGCACGGGAGCAAUCCUGAUGGCGAGUGGCGAACGGGUGAGUAAAGUAUCGGAACGUGCCCAGUCGUGGGGGAUAACGUAGCGAAAGUUACGCUAAUACCGCAUACGAUCGAUGGAUGAAAGCGGGGGAUCGCAAGACCUCGCGCGAUUGGCGCGGCCGAUAUCAGAUUAGGUAGUUGGUGGGGUAAAGGCUCACCAAGCCGACGAUCUGUAGCUGGUCUGAGAGGACGACCAGCCACACUGGGACUGAGACACGGCCCAGACUCCUACGGGAGGCAGCAGUGGGGAAUUUUGGACAAUGGGCGAAAGCCUGAUCCAGCCAUGCCGCGUGCAGGAUGAAGACCUUCGGGUUGUAAACUGCUUUUGUACGGAACGAAAAGGUUUGGCCUAAUAAGCUGAGCUCAUGACGGUACCGUAAGAAUAAGCACCGGCUAACUGCGUGCCAGCCGCCGCCGUAA